rnacentral:rRNA from 1 species
UACGAAGGGGGCUAGCGUUGCUCGGAAUCACUGGGCGUAAAGGGUGCGUAGGCGGGUCUUUUAAGUCAGGGGUGAAAUCCUAGAGCUCAACUCCAGAACUGCCUUUGAUACUGAGGAUCUUGAGUUCGGGAGAGGUGAGUGGAACUGCGAGUGUAGAGGUGAAAUUCGUAGAUAUUCGCAAGAACACCAGUGGCGAAGGCGGCUCACUGGCCCGAUACUGACGCUGAGGCACGAAAGCGUGGGGAGCAAACAGG